rnacentral:lncRNA from 10 species
CUUUUUAACUUUUUUCUCUCAAAAUUAUCUUGCUCAGAUGGAGAUCUGUUUUUCUCUCCAAUACUUUGGGUGUCUGUUUCAGAAGCCCUAUUAGUAUCCCAUGGUGUCUGAAUGAGGUAGGCUGUCACAGUGAGAACUUUUGUAGAUAUCUCUAUCUGGACUCAUGCUGGAAAUUCAUCCGAUUUUUUUUCCAUGUCACCAUGAUAAUUAAAAACGGGCUGAAACACUGGUCACAUUCCCAUUAUUGUGAAAGUGCAAUUCUACUCACAAGGCCUGCAGGCUCUCCUGCAGCUCAGGCUUUCCUCUCUGAUGUGACACUAGAGUGCUGCUGUGGGAAAUGUGGUUCACAUAAACUGAGCUGUGCUCAAGGCUGUCCCUCAGUGGCAGAUGAGAGAGGUCAAGAGGACACUAGCAACCAGGAAAAAGCAAGAAAGUGCUGUAGCCCAAUGCCAUGGAACACAGAGCCACUGCUGUAAAAUGUAAAUAGCCAAAAGGAUAGAAUGCUUUUCAACCAUUUUUGUAGCAGAGUGAAAACCUACCUUCAGCAAGUACCUGGCUUCAAGCUGCUAAACUACCUCCUGUUAUGAAGGUGUGAAAAGUUUUUUUGUUAUUGAAUAUAAACAAUUAGCAUAUACAGAUGGCCUCUUCAAUCUCCAUGUGAAUUUAGGAUGAACUAUGUAUGACAUGGUUCUGGAAAUUCUACUUGUGGACUAAUUUUGGUGACCAUCUUUCUGUCUCUGCAGUCUCUUAAGCAGAUUGACUAUGAUGCAUGUCACAUAAAACAGUUUUCUUUCUGUUCUAUUGUGGAGUUUUUCUGGGGCUGGAGAACAUUCUUUUGUUAUUUCCAAACACUGUCUAUAAUUACCAGACAUGAUAUAAACACAUAAGGUGCCAACUGGAAUUUACUCUAGAGGGGACUUUCCCUCUCAGACUUCCAGUCAACUCACACUUGUGCAACAAAGUGCAUGCUGUCCCCUAAAUAUGCAAGCAGAACUGUGUUUCUGCCUAUUUGGUAUCUAUAGUCCUCUACAGUCACUUCUAGAGAGACUAAACCAAAUUUCUACCAACUUCACAGGGCAACAAUCAAUAGUUUUAUCUCAAUGACUCUUGUAUCUUCAGACCUUAAACUGAUUCAGAGACCAUGGGGCCCACAAACCUAAUCAGAGUAACGUUUUCAUUGAGUACACAUUCAGACAUGAGAAUCUUCACUUUCCCCUUUUUUCUCUUGGUAAAAUGUUCACAAAUGUGCAGGUAACACCUGCUGCUACUCCAGCCAUUCGGGCCCUAAAUCUGCAGCUCUACAUUUUGUAUCUAGGUCUUGAGAUUUGGGAAAUAGAAAAUUUUUAUCUAAAAAUGCAAGUCCUUUUGGUUAUCAAACUCAGACAUUGAAAUGAAAGUGCAGUUACGCCUUUCUCCUCCUUUGAAAUAUGUAUUCAUCUCUUGAAACUGUUCACUAUUGCCACAAGUAGAUGUAUAUUAAACUGAUAAUACCACAUUGGACACUGUAUCUCAUACCCUAAACCAUAAUGAUAUAUGUCCAAUCAAUAACCAAUGUUACUUCUUUAAAUAAAAAUUUCUGACAACUCUAUC